AGUGAACGCUGGCGGUAGGCCUAACACAUGCAAGUCGAACGGCAGCACAGUAAGAGCUUGCUCUUACGGGUGGCGAGUGGCGGACGGGUGAGGAAUACAUCGGAAUCUACUUUUUCGUGGGGGAUAACGUAGGGAAACUUACGCUGAUACCGCAUACGACCUACGGGUGAAAGCAGGGGAUCUUCGGACCUUGCGCGAUUGAAUGAGCCGAUGUCGGAUUAGCUAGUUGGCGGGGUAAAGGCCCACCAAGGCGACGAUCCGUAGCUGGUCUGAGAGGAUGAUCAGCCACACUGGAACUGGGACACGGUCCAGACUCCUACGGGAGGCAGCAGUGGGGAAUAUUGGACAAUGGGCGCAAGCCUGAUCCAGCCAUACCGCGUGGGUGAAGAAGGCCUUCGGGUUGUAAAGCCCUUUUGUUGGGAAAGAAAAGCAGCAGGUUAAUACCCCGCUGUUCUGACGGUACCCAAAGAAUAAGCACCGGCUAACUUCGUG
rnacentral:rRNA from 1 species